UAGGGAAUAUUGCGCAAUGGGGGCAACCCUGACGCAGCAACUCCACGUGUGGGAUGAAGCAUUUCGGUGUGUAAACCACUGUCGGAUGGGAAUAAGGCGUCGCCACGGCGGCGUUGAAUGUACCAUUAGAGGAAGCACCGGCAAACUUCGUGCCAGCAGCCGCGGUAAUACGAGGGGUGCGAGCGUUGUUCGGAAUCACUGGGCGUAAAGGGAGCGUAGGCGGACCGCCAAGCGUUCUGUGCAAUCCCGGGGCCCAACCCCGGACCCGCAGAGCGAACUGGCGGCCUUGAGUAGUCCAGAGGCCGGCGGAAUUCCUGGUGUAGCGGUGGAAUGCGUAGAUAUCAGGAAGAACACCGAUGGCGAAGGCAGCCGGCUGGGGACUUACUGACGCUGAGGCUCGAAAGCGCGGGUAGCAAACAGGAUUAGAUACCCUGGUAAU
rnacentral:rRNA from 1 species